rnacentral:ncRNA from 1 species
CACAAAGGCUUGGUCCUGACUUUACUGUCAACUUUAGCUAGACUUACACAUGCAAGUAUCUGCACCCCCGUGAGAAUGCCCUAUAGUCUCCCACCCGGAAACAAGGAGCUGGUAUCAGGCACAGAAAUGCUAGCCCAUGACACCUUGCUUAGCCACACCCCCAAGGGAAUUCAGCAGUGAUAAACAUUAAGCUAUAAGUGAAAACUUGACUUAGUUAAAGCUAAGAGAGCCGGUAAAACUCGUGCCAGCCACCGCGGUUAUACGAGAGGCUCAAGCUGACAGACAACGGCGUAAAGUGUGGUUAAGGCAGACCCUCCCCCACUAAAGUCGAACACCCUCAGAGCUGUUAUACGUUCCCGAGGGCAAGAAGCUCCACCACGAAAGUGACUUUAUUUUCCCCGACCCCACGAAAGCUGUGACACAAACUGGGAUUAGAUACCCCACUAUGCUCAGCCAUAAACUUUGAUAGACCAUUACAACCCCUAUCCGCCCGGGUACUACGAGCACUAGCUUAAAACCCAAAGGACUUGGCGGUGCUUUAGAUCCACCUAGAGGAGCCUGUUCUAGAACCGAUAAUCCCCGUUUAACCUCACCCUCUCUUGUUCCUUCCCGCCUAUAUACCGCCGUCGUCAGCUUACCCUGUGAAGGGUUAAUAGUAAGCAAAAUCGGCAUAGCCCAAAACGACAGGUCGAGGUGUAGCAAAUGAGAGGGGAAGAAAUGGGCUACAUUUCCUGAACCCAGGACAUACGAACAAUGGACUGAAACGAACAUUUGAAGGAGGAUUUAGCAGUAAGCAGAAACUAGAGUGUUCCGCUGAAACCGGCCCUGAAGCGCGCACACACCGCCCGUCACUCUCCCCGAAAAAUAUCAAGACCACUUACCUAAAAAUCUAUAUCAAUAAAGGGGAGGCAAGUCGUAACAUGGUAAGUGUACCGGAAGGUGCACUUG